rnacentral:rRNA from 1 species
CCCUUAGAUGUUCUGGGCCGCACGCGCGCUACACUGACGAAUGCAACGAGCUUAUAACCUUGGCCGAAAGGUCUGGGUAAUCUCCAAAUUUCGUCGUGAUGGGGAUAGAUUAUUGCAAUUAUUAAUCUUCAACGAGGAAUGCCUAGUAAGCGCAAGUCAUCAGCUUGCGUUCAUUACGUCCCUGCCCUUUGUACACACCGCCCGUCGCUCCUACCGAUUGAAUGGUCCGGUGAAGCGUUCGGACCGUGGCCUUUGGACGGUUCGCCGUCUGUUGGCUGCGGGAAGUUCGUUAAACCUUAUCAUUUAGAGGAAGGAGAAGUCGUAACA